UAAAUUUUUAUAUAUUUAAAAACCGGUUUAUCCCACUUUUCUUCUUUUUGAAGUCAAAAUCAUAUCUGGGUUUGAAGUUGCCUCUCCUGUUGUCUAAGCUUUUGUACUCUGCAGGUAGCUUUUUCAGUCAACAUUUGGCAAUAGGCAUCAAGAGUUCCUUUUCCAGCCCACGUGCACUUAAAAAAAGAGAGAUUAAAACAUACUUACUCUUUGCACUAUUUUUUCAAGUUUUCCUUUUCUAAAAAAUAAUCUGCCUCCAGGAAUAUAGCCUGUGCUAAACCCUCCUUUGACUUCUUUUAUUUAUUUAAUUUUUAUUUUCGGAGAGAGGAAAGGAGAGGGAGAGAGAUAGAAACAUAAAUGAUGUGAGAGAAUCAUGAAACCGCUCUGUCCUGCACUCCUCCUACUGGGGAUCGUGGCCACUACCCAGGCAUGUGCCCAUGACCUCCCUGUUCAUGGGUCGAUGCUCAACCGCUGAGCAACACCAGCCAGGCUCCUUUGAUUUCUUUGGAGGACAAUGUGGUGAUCCUAGAAUUAAUUGUCUUCUUUAAGAGUAGAGAAGUAACACAGGCAUUGUUUCCUGAUUAAGAAUUCAUUCUAUCCUUUCUGUGAUUUGAGGUUCCAAAACAGAAAACAAGCUAUAUCUUUAAUGUUUUAUGAAAAACAAAGGGAACUAGGGACUAGUUAAGUGUUUAAUAAUUUAUUUUGCCAUGGAUUUCUAAAUGAACUAAAUACUAAAAAAAUACCAUUUUUAUUAUGGACUAUCUAAAACAUUCACAAGAGUAGAGAGAGUAGUAUUAACUAUGUACCCAAUACCCAGGUUAAUAAUUAUCAGCUUAUGACGAAAUUUAUUUCAUUUACAUCUUACAUGUAAGAACCUUAUGUGAGUAUACUGGAACAUGAGUUAGUAGGUCAGUUUGCAGCUCUGGUUAUUUGAACAGGAGAAAAGUUAGUGCAAAUCAGCCAGUGGACAGCUGCCAUUCUUUAAAUUUCAAAGGAGUCCUCUGCACUUGCUGUUGCCACUCUCUUACCUCCUCUCUCCCAUCCUCCCUAUUGUGCCUUCUCUCUCCCCCACUUCUCUGGGUAUGUUCAAUUUGCACCUGAUUUUAUUUUAAUUUUUAAUAAUAGUUUAUUGAUUUUUUAGAGGGAGAGAGAGAAACAUUGCCCUUGACUGGGAAUUGAACCAGCAACACCCUGUUGCACAGAACUACACCUAACCAACUGAGCCACAGCAUACAAGGCUGUGCUUUUUUGUUUUUAACCUUGUUCUGACCCCUAUUGUAUUGUGAUUUUGCCUCCUUGUAUUGUGAUUUUCUUUUUACUUGCUUUUUUACCCUUAUCUGAAUAAUCCCCUGAGGACAGGUACUUCUUUGUUUAUAGUUUAAAAUUUUAGCACAAUUGGAUAGUUGUGAAAUUAUAAAGUAGAGUUUUAAAUUAAUAUUGUUAUCAUUUAUGAUAAGAUUUCAGUUCUAUUAUAACACCCAUUUUGUAUUAAAAUAAGUCUUGAUUAUUAAAAAAUCUUCUGUUAGUCAUUGCCCUUGGCUCUUUACAUGAAUUUUCUGUAAUCCUUAUAAUAACCCUAAUUAGACGACAGAAUUCCCAUUUUAUUUUUGAGGAUACUGAAGUUCAAGAGGUUUAAAAAGUUUUCUCAAGGCCAUAGUUGUCCGUGCCUCUCUGGUUUUUAGGCCAGUGCUCUUUGCAUUACAUCAUACGUCCUAAAGGGUUGAUGUGUUUGCUGAGGAGAGAAUGAUAUGAAACCCAGCACACUGUCUUUGCCUCCUAAGAUAGUAUAAUUCAAGAAGGGUAGGUAGAACAACUUUGGAGGUCAGUUAUCAAGAAGGCUAUUUAAGAAGUUUCCUUUCCCCCUCUCCCUUCCUUUCUCUCUAAAAUCAUUAAAAAAAAAAAAAAAAAGACUUAAAAACAGUUUCCAUGAAGGGAAUAGGGAGACCGGGAGUUAGACCAGAAAAUAAAUUGGGAGGGUCAAAGCAGGAAAAACUGCUUAAUUAGCUAGACAUCAAACUGGAAGGACUGGAGUAGAUAGGAGGCUGGAGAGGGAUACGGUACAGGCAUGCCAUAAACUAGAGUCAGAUCUCACAAACAUGAAAUUCCUAGCAGCAAGUCCCCUUAUAGCGGUUCUCAAUCUGUGGGUCGCGACCCCUUUGGCAGUCGAACGACCCUUUCACAGGGGUCGCCUAAGACCAUCUGCAUAUCAGAUAUUUAUUUACAUUACUAUUCAUAACAGUAGCAAAAUUAGUUAUGAAGUAGCAAUGAAAAUAAUUUUAUAGUUGGGGGUCACAACAUGAGGAACUGUAUUUAAAGGGCCAGAAAGCUGAGAACCGUUGCCUUAGAACAUAGUUUGCUGUUACUUGCUGGGUUAGGGGUGAAUCCUCAAAGUGAAAUACCCAACUGGGCAGAGCAUGAGAGCCAGGAACCAGGCAUGCCUAAUUAACAUUAUGAACUGCUUUUAUGGUUCCUGACACAUGCGGAUACUUGAUACAGGUUUUUGGUUUUUUAAAUAUUUUUUUUUUGAUUUCAGAGAGGAUAUAGAAACAUCAUUGAUGAGAUAGAAUCAUCAAUUGGCUGCCUCCUGCACAUGCCCUGACCAGGAAUUGAACCCACCACCUCUUGGAGUAUGGGACAAUGCUCUAACUGAGCCACACCAGCCAGGGCUGAUGUGCAUUUUAAAGUGCAAGACACAAAAGGAGUGUUUUUUCACACAUCACAAUGUACAGUUACAAUAAUAAUAGUUCUUAAGUUCUUUACGAAGUGACAGGAUUCAAAAGAUAAGAGGAAAAAAAUGGGCUUUUACCAGUUCUUAGUAAAACUACUUGGGAAAAAGCUUUAGAAUUUGGCGAUUACGAGGCUACUAGCACCUAGUGCAUGUACUUUUAUAUAGUUGAUGGUAUUUAAGAUUUAAAACCUAAGUAAGCAUGCAUGGAGUUCCCUAACUUACAGUUUGCUAGUUGGCUACUCAAAUGUUUAAGCAUUAUUGACACAAUACCCAUUUUAUUUAUGACUAAAUACUACACUGAGUCUUCAGAAGAAAAGGAAACUACCUCAUGUAGGAAAUGAAUUCAGUUAGUAAAUAGCUGAAGUUAGAAUUGAGCAAAUGUUCUGUGUUUGUAACAGUUUGAAGCAUAUGACCAAAUAUGGUAGCUGCUAUUUAACAAAAAUCUACCUUAUGGUCCAGCUCUGUGCAUGGGUGGUAUUACAGGGAAUCCAAGUUUAUUUAUUCGUUAUUAUCUGUGGGUGUCUUCAUAAAUGAAAUUCUUAAGCGGGCCUGCAAAGUUAUUAAAAGAAUGAUCAAAAAGGAAAGAAGUGACAAGAUUUGUUCUGGAAAUGUACAGAUAGUUCUUUAGUAUUGCAGUAAUAUGUGUUCAGGUUUCUUUAAUGCAGGUUGCAGCUUGUUCAUGUCCCUGAGUUAAAGUUUACAUUUUAUGGUAAUUAAGCAACUGCAUGACCUUUGAAACAGCAAAGCAGUAUUCCAGAGCAGAGAAACCCUUAGGACAAUGGCUCCGGGUUUGGGAUUCCCUCCCACUGACGAAGUCGGGGAGGAGAGUGGUGGCCAUUAAAAAAUAGUGUGAUUUUGGGGAUGGGUGAGAGGUAGUGGGGAAGACUGUGGUUUCUGAAUUUUAUGUUUAAUAGAACAUUGGUGGCUUGUUUAAUUUCAUAUUAUAAUAGUCUCUUUUCCAUGUAUUUAGCUCAUGUCUGUGUGCUCUUAAGUUCAUUUCAUUAUGAAUUGCUUUUUUAAGUUCAUUAUGAAUAAUUUUUAAAGAUUUGGAUUUUAUGACUUUUUUUCAGAUGUAGAAAUUUAAGUUUCUUACGUAACGAAGAAAAGUCCUACUCCAAAUUUAAUAUUCAAGAUAACGUGUAUCAGACUUGAAAAUUUUUUUAAACUUCCCUUCAGUGUCAUUGGCAAUUUAGAUUUUCUAGGGACUGCUCAGUUUGCAAGUUAUCUAGGCUUCCAUUUUCCUCCUUCACCCCCGCUCCCUGCUGAAUAGCAACCAUUUGCUCUGUGUUAGUUCUUUGCCUAGUGAAGGAAAUUGAGAUGUCUAGAAACUAUGAAUUUUGUUUUUUAGGCCAUAUUUUGUGUGUAAUGGGUAACAUUAAGUUUUUAAAAUUUCCAUGGGAUCUCUUGGGUUUUAAAUUUAGAUUUAAUAACAGUGUACUCAGGGGGCCAGCUUGCUUGUUGAGACUUGAAGUUUCCUGCAGAUUUGGACAGUUUCUUCACUAACUUUUUUCUAUUCAUCUAUUUCAUGAGACCAUGACAUUCACAAGUGAAUUGAGAAAUUGAAUUACUCAAAUCCAACUAUGAAUGUUUAAUCAGAGACACCCAGUCUGAAAAAACAUUUACACUCCAACAUAUUCAUUCAUAACCAUUAAUAUAUUAAUAGCUCUAAAGAAGUUUCCCAUAUUCCAGAGUUCUUGAGAAGAAUGCUCUGGAUAACCUAAUAGGCUUUUCCAUCUCUCUGUGACUUGUCUUACCUUAUUGAAAACUUGUCUUAAAUAGAAGGAAAUGAAGAGGCCUGGUCAAACCAGAUUCUAAACAGUGCUGCUUCAGUGGGAAGGGAGUGAUUAGUCAAUCAGUGCUUGUGGUGACUGUUAAUCAGCAGGCAGCAAGCACACAGGCCAACUUCUUUGCAGCUAGUAAACACUGCUGUAGGCUGGCGACAGGUGCUGCCUAUGCACAUCUCAAAACAAGUGACAAAUUGUUAUUUUUCUAGAGAUUCCAUUUAGCUACAAAUUUAAGGUUUAUUAGUAGUGUUUUCAAAAUGAAGUAUUUUGAGGACUAGAUUGUGUCAUUUAUUUAAGGCUGAGUCAAAAGCAAUUUAUGUAAUGUAUCUAUAAUAAUAAAAGUAUAAUAUGCUAAUUAGACCGGACAGCCGAAUGACCUUCCAGUUGUCCUUCUGGAUGAAGCCGUGGUGGCAGGGGCCGAUGCAGAGGCGGUUAGGGGCAAUCAGGCAGGCAGGCAAGCAGUUAGGGGCGAUCAGGCAGUCAGGCGAGUGGUUAGGGGAGAUCAGGC